rnacentral:rRNA from 1 species
GUGCCAGCAGCCGCGGUAAUACCAGCACCCCGAGUGGUCGGGACGAUUAUUGGGCCUAAAGCAUCCGUAGCCGGUUCUGCAAGUCUCCCGUUAAAUCCAACUGCUCAACAGGUGGGCUGCGGAGGAUACUACAGAGCUAGGAGGCAGGAGAGGCAAGCGGUACUCAGUGGGUAGGGGUAAAAUCCGUUGAUCCAUUGAAGACCACCAGUGGCGAAGGCGGCUUGCCAGAAUGCGCUCGACGGUGAGGGAUGAAAGCUGGGGGAGCAAACCGGAUUAGAAACCCUGGUAGUCC